rnacentral:rRNA from 1 species
ACGCACGCUGGCGGCAUGCCUCACACAUGCCAGUCGAACGCGACCUUCGGGUCUAGUGGCGCACGGGUGCGUAACGCGUGGGAACCUGCCCUUAGGUUCGGAAUAACUCCCCGAAAGGGGUGCUAAUACCGGAUAAUGUCUUCGGACCAAAGAUUUAUCGCCUUUGGAUGGGCCCGCGUUGGAUUAGCUAGUUGGUAGGGUAAAAGCCUACCAAGGCGACGAUCCAUAGCUGGUCUGAGAGGAUGAUCAGCCACACUGGGACUGAGACACGGCCCAGACUCCUACGGGGGGCAGCAGUGGGGAAUAUUGGACAAUGGGCGAAAGCCUGAUCCAGCAAUGCCGCGUGAGUGAUGAAGGCCUUAGGGUGGUAAAGCUCUUUUACCCGGGAUGAUAAUGACAGUACCGGGAGAAUAAGCUCCGGCUAACUCCGU